rnacentral:misc_RNA from 1 species
UGCUUACUUACCAUGUUCUUCCAUG